UACGAAGGGGGCUAGCGUUGCUCGGAAUGACUGGGCGUAAAGGGCGCGUAGGCGGACGGCACAGUCAGGCGUGAAAUUCCUGGGCUCAACCUGGGGACUGCGUCUGAGACGUGUUGUCUUGAGUAUGGAAGAGGGUUGUGGAAUUUCCAGUGUAGAGGUGAAAUUCGUAGGUAUUGGAAAGAACACCGGUGGCGAAGGCGGCAACCUGGUCCAUUACUGACGCUGAGGCGCGAAAGCGUGGGGAGCAAACAGG
rnacentral:rRNA from 1 species